rnacentral:rRNA from 1 species
AACGAACGCUGGCGGCAGGCUUAACACAUGCAAGUCGAACGCAUCCUUCGGGGUGAGUGGCAGACGGGUGAGUAACGCGUGGGAACGUGCCCUUCAGUUCGGGAUAACCCAGGGAAACUUGGGCUAAUACCGGAUACGUGCGAGAGCAGAAAGAUUUAUCGCUGAAGGAUCGGCCCGCGUCUGAUUAGCUAGUUGGUGGGGUAAUGGCCCACCAAGGCGACGAUCAGUAGCUGGUCUGAGAGGAUGAUCAGCCACAUUGGGACUGAGACACGGCCCAAACUCCUACGGGAGGCAGCAGUGGGGAAUAUUGGACAAUGGGCGCAAGCCUGAUCCAGCCAUGCCGCGUGAGUGAUGGAGGCCUUAGGGUCGUAAAGCUCUUUCGUCCGGGACGAUAAUGACGGUACCGGAAGAAGAAGCCCCGGCUAACUUCGUGCCAGCAGCCGCCGUAACAC